UCAAGGCUCACCACGUCCCAGAGAUCAUCAAACGAGCCAGGGAUUCGCCAGUGGUGUUUAGUUUCUUCAUGUGGGUGAGAGCCAGGUGACACAUCCGUCUGGAUUCCUCCAUGUUUUACGCUGCUCUUCGAGGUUCUAAGCUCCACCGACAAGCCGGAGGAGAUGCUCGACCAGAUGCCAAAGUGGAUUCCCCAUUGUUGUGACGGUGAUGCAUGCUUACAGGAGGCUGGACAGGGCCGGGGACGCUCUCAAGCUCUUCUUGAAGAUGGAGGAGCUCGGGGUGAAGUAUCCGAAGACCUUGACUUUCAACUGUAUGUGCGACUUACAGUUUGAUAUGGUACACAAGAGGAUGACGAUGAUGAGGAAGAUGAACGCUCUCAUGUACGAGAUUCUCAUCGCCAAGAUCUGCCGGGCGAGCAGGCUUGCUCGCUCUUCCGGGAGAUGAUCAAAUCCGGCUAUGCUUCUCCCGCGGACUGUCUGCCGGUGGUGGAGAGCAGCUACAAGAAGUGCAAGAUCGAGAUGGUGUGGAGCUUCAUCAAGGAGCUUCCCAAGCUUCCGGACUGCGAUUUCGACGAGAAGAUCAUAUACUCUCUCGUCAAGAGACUUAUGAUCUGGCUAGGAAGCUGUUUCAAUUGGUGAUGAGCACGGGGAAGAAGUUGCCAGCGGAUACUUACAACCUUUUCAUCCUCAAGCUGCGCACGACUGACGGCAGCGAGCAGACCUUUGAUCUCAUGAAGCAGAACGGAUGGCGUUCCAGACACGCGCAGCUCGCUGGUGCGAGCGGGAUCGAUCGGCGAGGCCUAUCAGCUCUCUGUGGAGAUGAUGGACAAAGGCUACCAGGCUAUCACUUACAUAAUCGUGCAGAUCCUCAACAGGGACGGGAAGAUGAACGCGAGCACCGUCACGGAAGCCAUGACGAAGCUCAAGGAGAAGGGAAAGUUUGAGGGAGCAGGGACGUGCCUCGACAAGCUUUCGUAGCAAAAACUUUUGCCGUCUGGGAAAGGCAAGGGAUCGAAGGGAAGGUUCUGGUGAAAGUCUUCCAAAAGGAUGGAUGGAGGCUGGAAGAUCUCUACAUGUUUCGUUCUACUCGCAAAAGCUUGAGUUUUUCGUUUCACUGCGCUCUCGAUUUGAUAGUUCUGUUUUGUUUUGUGCAGUAGCUUUGAGAGAACUUUUCACUGCUGUGAGUGAUCUGAAGCAUUGAUUUGUGGAGAGAGAAGUUUGGAGAGCGGUGUGUGGAAUAUCUCCCACACGACGACAAUAAUGCAGGUAUGGGAUAAUAUUCUCUCGAAAGUGCGGCUGCCUCCACUGUCGCUGGCGGCUGCGCAAAGCGGCCACGCUAUAUAUAAAGUCGUGGAGCCAGGUGAUAACUCGCCACUCUCAUUUUCAGAGCUCUCAGUGCUAUUUGAUUCCUUCCAGCUUGACAUCUUUCUUGCAGACCGCUUUCAAUCGAUCGUCUCUGUUCCCCAGCCUCGAGAAAAGUCCACUUUGCUGUUCCAGUGCUUCUCUAGCUCGUCCGUCUUUGAAAGAUCAAGCUUUGGCCGAUCUGGUUGAUCCGAGAUGGGAUUUCUGGCAAGGUUGUGGGACGAUGUUGUUUCUGGGCAUGAUCCUGGGAUGAAUCUGCGGGAUCCAAAGCUUGAAGGAUCAUCGCAAGGAGCUCCUUUCGCCCAACGAGAGAAAGACAAGUCAGGGAAUACGAGUGAUCGAGAACGAAGAACCGGAGAUCCUAGCAUUACAAGACAAUUAUCUCCCAGUGUCUCGGAUUGGCUCGUUCUCAGCAUUCUAGACAGAUAAAAACAAGAAAGCUUCUCAAAGUUUGCUCUUUGCAAAGAAAGAUCUUUGUCUUGUGAAAGUCCUGCUCUUCGCAAAAUCUACGUGAUCUAAGCUUGAAAAGAAAAAUUUUCUAAACUGAAGUUCUGAUUGGUGGAUCCAAACUUUCGAUUCGAUCUUGGAUCUAAUGAUUUUGUUCCGCCAGGAAAUUUCAACCAUCAGUAGCGGAAGUUCUUUAUAUUCAUCGCCACCAUCUCAGAGAACAUCGUUUGGUCUUUCACAUUCUCUCCAGUGUUCUUACUUACCUUGAUCUCUUUCUUUCAGCGACCUGUGAAUCCAGACAGCGAACGCUUUGAAUUGGACUGGAUUCAUGAAAGUCGCCGAGAAUUGAAUUGAAUGCCAGCGCCCUCGAGAAUUCCUUCUCUACACUGCCAUGGCGAUGGAUCCCUCCUCCUGGAAGUGGAGGAGCAAGAGCAUGGCUUCCCUCUCCAGACGAAGCCCAAGGUAGAGGAUCAUCAAAACGUAGGCCAAGAUCGCGAGAGCUCCCAAGGGCCCGAGCGCCGCACGGUACAAGCUCGCAGCGCUGGAAUCCAUCACGGCUGUGGAGACGAAAUAGCCGCCAGCAAAUGCGACGCAAAUGCCAAUCGCCCACGCCACUAAUCUCAUCAUCAACACACAAAGGAAGAAACAACGCAUCGAUGGAUAGAAAAGGAAUCGCGAGGACCUACAGUGGUUCCUGAGCCCUCCAUCGCCGCAAGAGCCACAAAGUUCUCCGCGAGAGAAUGGAUGGAACAGGACAUCUUAUAUGAUUCUUAUCAUAUAAGUCCCAUCUUAUAUGAUUCCCCUCCACUACGAGGACGUGAUGGGCAUCCUGGAAAGGAAGAGAAGAUCGCGAGAUUCACAAAACGAAAUAAGGCAUUGUUUUGGAUCUAUGGUGAGGGCUCCAGAUCUGCGUUGGAGAGAGGAAUUCCAAGGCAGAGAGAAAGGAAAGGAACCAAGCACCACACUCAUACAUACAAUGCGGGUUAUCUGAAUUUCCUAAAAUUAAAUGCCCUGGGUGUUUGGUUGUUCGUGGGAGAGUGGAGCUCCGAAGAUGGCUUUGGAUAUGAUGCAAAAAAGUGACUACCAUCCAAGCAUUUUCUCAAAAGGCUUGUGUGAUUCCAGAAGGAGGAAGUGAGCUUUCUCUGGAAGUACUUCACAAGGAGGAUGACAUGAGCGAGCUGCAAAGAUUGUCAGCUGAUGCUACAGCCGAUCCACAAAAACAACUUGCAAGAGAAAAUUCACCACCAAGGUCAACAAUACUUUGAGCGUGAGGCUUUAUUCGCAAGUCCAUCACUAGCAUCUUUAGCCAAGUUACAGACUUAAGAUGUUCGCUUUGGGAAGGCUGGCCGAUAUCAGCAAUAGAGCCACUCAUCUCCGCAUUCGUGCCAGGCCGGAGAUCCCAGAGCUUUGUGUUUCCAGUUUUCAUGCGAAACGAUAACCAGGGUGCACCUAGUUUCAGAACCAAUUGUCGGUAUAAGCAAUCAAGGAAACGUUUUGUAGAAUUACCUCGAAUUGCCUCGAAUGGAAGGCUCAGUGGCAGAAGACCUGGAGGAGUUCAGCAAAUAAACAGCUCAUGAGAUCAUCAAAACAGUUUACUAUAAUCUGUUAGUCUCAUGGUUCUUGGUGGGUGCCACAAGACCUUGUAAAUAGCUAGUGAAUGAAUGAAUGAAAUGAAACCGAGAGGAGAUUCAAGUUCUAUACCUUUAAAUAGUUCCAGCUCUGCAUAUAAUAACCUAAAAUUUGGUGAAGUAAUCACAAGAAUGGUUAAGGAGCUCCAGGGGUUCGUUUUAUAUUCGUUGAAGCUCAAUCGAUAAUGACCAGAUAAAGUUAGCACUUAACAACCUCAAAGUAAGCACAAGCACAAUGCCAGAAAACUAUACCUGGACAUCAACUUGCACUUCAGGUACUUUCUGAAAAAGAUUCUGCAAAGGAUCACAUGUAAACCUUGAGCUUACCAUCAAUUCUGACUACCAUGUUUACUCCUGAAAUCUAUCAGUAAGAAUAUAUAAAAGAACAAAAUUCCAGAUGCUUACGUCCAUGUCUAAAACAUCGAGAUGGACAGCAUAAACUUCCUGUGACAUCCGUUUGAAAGCUUUAAAUGACCAAGAUCAACCUCGAUGUACUGCCUAGGGUGGGUGCCAACAGUCCAAGUUGGUUCUAAUCCACAUAAGCACAAUGGAAUUCAUCCAUGUGACUGGCUUGGGCUGUUUCUUUCUCUUCAUUUGUGUUUCCUCUUGCCCUGGCUGCUCCUGAGCUCAUGGAACUUGCCAAUUUCAGCUCUAAAGGCCUUGUUGCAGGAAGAUUACUGCCCACCAGCUCACAACACUAAGGAGAUAUUGCACAUAAAUUCUUCAGUGAAUCCUUCUUACUCCUAGCUUCUCAGUCAUGACAGAAACAGCCUCUAUCUCUCUCCCACACACAACUUUGUUCUCAAAUGUGCCUAGGAACACUGUUGGUUUGCAGCUAUUUGCAAUGCACACCAAGAUUCUCAAAUCCAACUUGCCCAAGAAGGUGACAAGCUCUUUCUUGCAUCAGGACUUGCUCCCAAUCAAUCCAACUCUGUAGAGAAUUCUCUUAGGACUUCCAGAACGUUCAAUAUCCCCUCUCUGCAAUACUAGAAAGAUGGGACAAGCUUAGAAUCCUCUCUAGACACUCCAGAACUUCUUUGAACACACUUAAAUUGCUGUUAUAAGCUUGGGAACAUUGCUGGAGUGCAGUUUGCCAGUUACAAAGAGAUUCCUCUCAAAGAACACUCUCCUCUUUCUAACAAAGAUGCAAACUUGUUUCUAAAACCAAAGGGUCACAAUUGUCUUUCCAGCUUCCUUUUUAUCCUCCAAAGCUGAGAUCCUUCUGAUAUUUAUGAUGCUUGCCAUAUCCCAGCUUAAGAUAUCACCAUAUGCCACAUGGAUCAAAUGACACUUCAACUAUUUCUAGCAUUUCUCCAGUACAACUAUACUGCCUUAACCACCUCUAGGAUGCAAAAUUCUUUUGCACCUUCAUCAUACCUGCAUUUCUUCAACCUUUCCAUCCUUGUUUUCAGCAUCCUCUACUAUCACAACUUCCUUCACAUGUUCUAGUUCUUUUUUAGCUAUCGAGACUUCCUUCUUGGUUACUGAUGAUGCUAGGUUCCCUUGAAUUCCCCUUCUGUCACUUUCCACCUCCUCCAAAAGGCUCUAGUCUCAAGUCUUCUUAACUUCAUUGCCUCUGCUGCUUACUCCUUUUGCCUCCUCUUGAUGUUGAUGAGCUUCCUUGAUGCCUGGUCCUUGUAAUGGACUCACCUCAGUCCCACUUAUAAUCUCCUUUAGGUUCAGUUGAUUAUGUCAUGCUGAAGCCUUCAUGUCCCUAGGUCCUUCUUCCAACAAGAUUCUUCACUCUUCUCCAUCCUUCAGCUCCUGGCUUACCUUGGCUGUAUGCUGGGAAUUCUGAUCCUUAGAAUAUUCUCUCUCUCUCUCUCUCUCUCUCUCUCUCUCUCUCUCUCUCUCUCUCUCUCUCUCUCUCUCUCUCUCUCUCUCUAUGUAGCACUUUAGAACAAAAGAAAAAGAUCACCAUUUCACAUAAAAGAGUGAAGGGUUAACAAGUGGUAACUGAAUUCCUAGCCAGCUUUUGGUUCGUAGGUUGAUUCUCUUGUCUUUCAAUAUUUUUUUGCAAGAAAAUUAGAGUGUUUUUUGAGAUUUAUUUCUAGAGAAGCCAAGAGUAUGCCUAAAUGUUUUAUUUGCAUCAAGUUUCAUCAAAUUCCAACAUUUAGAAGUGAUACAAGGUAAAUUUUACUCAAACUCAUGACUUGGUGCAUAUGAGGGUAUUUUAGGGAGAUUUUCUUUUCUUAUGUCACAAGUUUAUGUUCUAAGUUUCAUGUCUUAAUUUAUAAGUGUUGUAUUGGAGUAUCUCUCAUGUUCUCAACCCAUUUCUUUGUGUUGAGUGGAGAAGAUUUAAAAAUUACUACAUAUCCUUACUUUGAGUGAGUAUAGAGUUUUUCAGAGAGUGUUUUGUUUUACCUAUUCUGGUAAUUUCUUUCUGUUUAAGCUUAUUCCACAGUCUAGCAUUUGCAGUAAUUUAGUUUUGACUUGGCCUUUUUCACAAAGACUAGUCCUUAGUGACUUGGGAAGUUUUUUUAACUUCACCGUGAACUAGAAUAUUAUAUAGCACUUUUGGUGAGCAAGUCUUCUAGCUCAAAUGCAGAUGCCAAGACAAGAGAUUUGAGUAGAGUGACUCAUUUCAAUUUAGCUAGAGGUGAUCCAUUUCCCUUAUAAUCAGGAGGAGUGCAUUAAGUUUCUAUUAUAUCACUUGUACUAACUCAACAACAAAAAAUCAACAGCCACCCCUACCUCCUACACUUCCAGCACCAACAAUCCAUAUUUUGGAAUGGAGCUCCUUUUUUUUGGGCCAGGCUUAGGGAUAUUAAUGGAUGAUUAUAUUAUAGUGUUCUCAUAUAAUGCCAUAAAGUGUAAAGUCUUCUCAUAGUAUAUGUAGCCAAGUAUGAUAUUGGGUGCUUAUGUUAGAGUUAAAGGAGAAAUAGAACUUUAGGGCACUAUAUAAGUUAUAAAUUUUCCUUUGCCAAUUUGUUAGUUUAGCUUGAUUAAUUUUUAACUUGCCAAGAUCCACUUCUAUUGUAUUAACUUCUACUUAAUUUUACUUUGUUUCAACUAUUCACUACAUGAGCAAUGAAGUAUUAGCCAUUUCUUCAUAAAUUCCUAAACUCUUUUCCUUAAUUCUUCACAUGAGAACCUAAUGCACCUGGCGGGAUCUCGAAUCAUAAAGCUCCAGCAGAAGAGGUUUUAUAACUGGCCUUCUAGCUCAGUUGGUCAGAGCGUCGUGCUAAUAACGCGAAGGUCACAGGUUCGAGACCUGUGUGGGCCACUAAUCAUUUUUUUCUUUAUGCCUUAAUGUCUUAGGGCUUUGUUUUUCUUUUUAAAUGCGAGGGUUUUUCUAGGGUUCUUGCGAGAUGAGGGUCGGAUUCCAGAUCGCCAGGGCGGUCGCAAGAGCGCUCCAUGGAUCCGGCAAUGCGGUAUCUUCCAGCCGCAUUUUCAGGCCUUCGAGCAGCAGCAUCAUCGUCAGGGGCCUGGCCGACGAUUUCAGCAGCCUCUUCGAUCAGAAUGCGAUGAAGACCAAGGCUCCAGGCAAGGCGAGGGAAGAUGGAGAGGCCACAAAGGCGGGCAAGGAGAAGGAGGACAAGGAGGAGGUGAGUGAAUUGGAUCUACUGGAUUUGCAAUUCGCGAAAAUCGAGACUACAACAAGAACAACAACGGUGAGUGAUAGCAAGCCGGAGUCCCUGGAGCCAAUCGUCCAGGAGAUCCCGCUCCUACCGCCCUUUGGAUCUGAGGAGGAGCUCAUCGAGUACGCGACUGCGGUCGUGAAAGAAACGCCGUGGCGGCAGCUCUACACCAAGCUCGCAGUUCUGGGUGAUCAAGUCAAGGCUCACCACGUCCCAGAGAUCAUCAAACGAGCCAAGGAUUCGCCGGUGGUGUUUAGUUUCUUCAUGUGGGUGAGAGCCAGGCGACACAUCCGUCUGGAUUCCUCCAUGUUUACGCUGCUCUUCGAGGUUCUAAGCUCGACCGACAAGCCGGAGGAGAUGGAGUGGCUCCUCGACCAGAUGCCAAAGUGGGGGAUUCCCGUGGAGGACUCCAUGGUUGUGACGGUGAUGCUGGCUUACGGGAGGCUGGACAGGGCCGGUGACGCUCUCAAGCUCUUCUUGAAGAUGGAGGAGCUCGGGGUGAAGUAUCCCAAGACCUCGACUUUCAACUGUAUCUUGCGAUUACUCCUCAACGCGGGCCGGAACUUACAGUUCGAUAUGGUACACAAGAGGAUGACGAUGAUGAGGAAGAUGAACGCUCUCACGUACGAGAUUCUCAUCGCUAAGGUUUGCCGGUUUGGCGCCGCCGAGAGCGCGUAUGAAGUUUUCCAGGAGAUGAAAGAUGUGGAGCACCAGCCGAGCGUGGCUGCUUACGCGAGCUUGGUGGAGAGCUUGAGCAAGGCGGGUAGAGAGGACAUAGCUAUCCAGGUGCUGGAAGAGAUGGAAACUCCUUCAGCCGAGGUUUACAACCCGCUGGUGAGGAACUUGGUCCUGGCAGGGAAGCUAGGCGUGGCACUGACACAGUACAAGAAGAUGCUGGAGGCUAAACUCAAGCCGGUUUCCUCGACUUGCAUUCCCAUACUCACGGAGCUCGUGAUCACCGAGAGAAGCGAGCAGGCUUGCUCGCUCUUCCGGGAGAUGAUCAAGUCCGGCUAUGCUUCUCCCGCGGACUGUCUGCCGGUGGUGGAGAGCAGCUACAAGAAGUGCAAGAUCGAGAUGGUGUGGAGCUUCAUCAAGGAGCUUCCCAAGCUUCCGGACUGCGAUUUCGACGAGAAGAUCAUAUACUCUCUCGUCAAGGGACUUAUGGACAGGGAGAGGCUUGAUCUGGCGAGGAAGCUGUUUCAGUCGGUGCUGAGCACGGGGAAGAAGUUGCCGGCGGAUACUUACAACCUUUUCAUCCUCAAGCUGCGCACCACCGACGGCAGCAAGCAGAUCUUCGAC
rnacentral:lncRNA from 1 species